rnacentral:rRNA from 1 species
GACGAACGCUGGCGGCGUGCUUAACACGUGCAAGUCGAACGGAAAGGCCCUGCUUUUGUGGGGUGCUCGAGUGGCGAACGGGUGAGUAACACGUGAGUAACCUGCCCUUGACUUUGGGAUAACUUCAGGAAACUGGGGCUAAUACCGGAUAGGAGCUCCUGCUGCAUGGUGGGGGUUGGAAAGUUUCGGCGGUUGGGGAUGGACUCGCGGCUUAUCAGCUUGUUGGUGGGGUAGUGGCUUACCAAGGCUUUGACGGGUAGCCGGCCUGAGAGGGUGACCGGCCACAUUGGGACUGAGAUACGGCCCAGACUCCUACGGGAGGCAGCAGUGGGGAAUAUGGCACAAUGGGCGGAAGCCUGAUGCAGCAACGCCGCGUGCGGGAUGACGGCCUUCGGGUUGUAAACCGCUUUCGCCUGUGACGAAGCGUGAGUGACGGUAAUGGGUAAAGAAGCACCGGCUAACUACGUG